GGCCCAGAAAUAUGGAGAGACUCAAGAGGGAAAGUUGAUGCCCUGGUUGCAGGGAUCGGUACAGGUGGUACUGCAACUGGAGCUGGAAGAUUCCUCAAGGAGAAAAACAAAGAGAUUAAGGUUUCUUUUGUGUGUCUGUAUUUUGAGAGGGAGAGAGAAUUAUGAUUAUAUAAGUUAAUGGAGUGCUUUCUUUUGUUUUUGCUUUAGGUGUAUGGUAUAGAACCAGUAGAAAGUGCAGUCUUGAGUGGAGGAAAACAUGGUGAGUGGUAAAUUUUUAUUGGUUUCUUGUUCUUUCUUGGGGCAGAUACAUUCUUGCAGAAGUACACGGGAUUUAUAAGUACCAGUGUUUAGGUUCUACUCAUUCUAGUGCUUUCCAUCAUUUGGAGAUGUCACAGCACCUGAAAUUUAGUGAAUUCAAUAUUAUACGAAUCAAACCAUAAAUGAUACUAGUGAAUAGAUGUCUUUUUUAUGAUAUAUUAGUUGGGAUUAUUUGCCAGUGAUGAAGCAGAUAACAGUUUCCUGGUUUCAGUAAUGGCUUGUGAAGUACCGGUACUCUUAGGCAGAUAAGGGCUUAAACUAAGUUAACAAUUGAAGAGACUUUGAGAGAUGCUAUAAGAAAUUAUCUCUUAUGGUCCAAGUUCCUGUUUUACCUGCUUCUAAUUUUAAAUUCUCAUACUGCUCUUAGUCCAUGAUUAUGCGCUAGACUUGAACAAUAUUGUGUUAUAUCUAAACCAUUUUUUAUCUAAUUCCUUUUAAGAUGGACAGUGUUAUGAUUAUUGACUGUUCCUCUCUCUGGGAAUAUUGCUUGCUAUCUCUGUCAAAGGCCCGCAUCUGAUCCAAGGAAUUGGAGCUGGUAUCAUCCCUAGUGUUUUGGACGUUAACAUGCUGGAUGGAGUUUUUCAAGUAAGUCUAAAAUCAUUUCUUCUGGCAUUUUCUUUGAAUUGACCUGAAAAUCAUCUGCUUGGAUUCAACUCCUAUUCAGCAUUUAGAAAUGUGGUGCUGCCACUAUAAAGUUGCAGCACUAGGCAAAAAUUUAAUUAUGAAGAACUGAUAUCAUUAUUUUCAAUCUUCUCAAUGACACAAAAGGAUACAUAAUAGACAAGCAAAUUCUGACCGUCUACAUUGAUAAUCGAACUCCAUUAAAUGGCUUUAAAUGUCAAUUAAAUUUUCAUUAGAGAAGGGCUUAUAUAGGUUUUACACACCCAUACACAUGGAUGCAUGGCCAUACAAAAUAUCAUUUUUUUACUUUUGAUGGUGGUAUUACCUUUAGGUAUCAAGUGAGGAAGCUAUUG
rnacentral:misc_RNA from 1 species